AAAAUUAAAACCCUCUGGCCGAGUCAGAGGGUGUGUGUUUAAUCAGCAAAAGAAAAACCCUGAUUCUUCUUCUCCACAUUGUCGCGACUUCUGGUGUUCUCUUCUCAUCUUCCUCGCGAAUUCGAUUUAUGGUUAUAUGCGUGUUGCUGAGCAUCAUAUAUUAGUAGAUAGGCCAUCUUAGACAUCAUGGGAAUCCAAAAUCUUUUAUGGCAAGUGACGAAGAAAGCAUUCACUGGAGGUAUCAUAGGGGUUACUAUUUCAGAUAGAUGUUGUAGCGUUGUUCCCGUGAGAGGAGAUUCCAUGUCUCCCACUUUGAAUCCCCAGAGAAAUUCUUAUUUAGAUGAUUAUGUUUUGGUAGAGAAAUUUUUCCUUCAGGAUUACAAGUUUGUGCGUGGUGAUGUUGUAGUGUUCAGCUCUCCCACUCAUUUCAAGGAUAAAUACAUAAAGAGGAUAGUGGGGCUGCCUGGGGAAUGGAUAAGUAGUUCACGGGAUGUGAUCAGAGUCCCAGAAGGACAUUGUUGGGUAGAAGGAGAUAACAAAGCUUCCAGCUUAGACUCAAGAACCUUUGGCCCUAUUCCUUUGGGUUUAAUUAGAGGACGGGUGACUAGUGUCGUGUGGCCUCCUCAAAGAGUAAGCAAGAUUAGUUGAUAAAGAGAAGGAGAAGAAAGGAAGAAAAAGAUAGGUGGAUUUGUUGAAGAUGGGAAGACUAUUCGUGAUCGACCUCCAAGGAGAAACUUAUAGCUGUAAACAUUGCCACACACCUUUCGCACUUACCGAUGAUCUCAUCUCCAAGUCAUUUCACUGCAAGCAUGGAAGGGCUUAUCUUUUCGAAAACGUGUAAGUUGUUACUACUUUGAAGAUGAAUCUGAUCAAACCAUUGAAUCCUCCUGACAAGGCUCCCUUUUUUGAUAACCAAAUCUCUUUUUGGGGAUGUCGUUAGUGUCAAUGUGACUGUUGGAGAGAUGGAGCAUCGCAUCAUGAUGACUGGCUGGCACACUGUUGCUGACAUCUUCUGCGUUUGCUGUGGCUCUCUCGUUGGCUGGAAAUACGUACAAAAUACUACAAGAAAAACUCAUUCUUCUCAACAACUUCCUUUUUGAUUCUUGAUGCUGAUUCUCAUUUUGUCCCACAGGAGAUCGCAUACGAAAAGUCUCAGAAAUACAAAGAAGGAAAAUUCAUCAUUGAAAGGUUUAAAGUGCUUGGACCCGAUGGAGGCGGGUACGACAUGAACGAGGACGAGCCCAUGAUUGGAAGUGACGAAGAAUAAAACGGGCUUCCCUUUUCUUUUUACCAGCCCAUAGUUAUUGGAGAUACUUGGCAAGUGAUCAAUGCAAAAACUCCACAAUUUUUUUCGGGUAAGCAACCAAAUAUUUAUAAACUUAAUUGUAAUGAGGAGUACUAAAAUCGUUUUCAGACACUAACUUUAGUAUAUGCAUGCUUCUACUUGCAUGCCUCUUGUAACAAGAAUCUAUAUAAAUGAAUUUCCUAGCGAAAAUAUAGAUUUUAUCUGGACA